rnacentral:rRNA from 1 species
UACGUAGGGGCAAGCGUUGGUCCGGAUUCAUUGGGCGGUAAAGGGUAGCGUAGGCGGCGCGGUAAGUCGGGUGUGAAAUCUCGGGGCUUAACUCCGAAACUGCAUUCGAUACUGCCGUGCUUGAGGACUGGAGAGGAGACUGGAAUUUACGGUGUAGCGGUGAAAUGCGUAGAUAUCGUAAGGAAGACCAGUGGCGAAGGCGGGUCUCUGGACAGUUCCUGACGCUGAGGCACGAAGGUCAGGGGAGCAAACGGG